UGUGGUCGCAUUCUCACGGUGAAAGUAUCGCGGGAAGCGUAUCGAGAGACGUAUCGUGUCGCGUCGGCGAUGGAGAAGCACAUCCCAAUCGUGUGUGUGCGUGGACUUGCGCGUGUGCGAGUUGUACUCCCGCCACGGAGAUCAAGCGGAGAUUCCCAAGUAGAUAAUCCUAAUUGGACAGCGUGAGAGCGGCCAUAAUCCUGUAAAGGGAAAAACGGCUGCCAACAACGUGUUGCAUUUAGCGAUCAUGUGGCUUAGCCGUCUCGCGUCGCACUCACCGCAAUUGACUGCGACUGGACGCACACGCGCGAAUGGGAGCAUGUUGGAUACCUCACUGAUGCUAUCUGACCUUGUCUACAAAAAUUAAAAAAAAUUAAAAAUCACAUUUCUAAACACAUUUUGUAGAGAAAUAAAAUAAUAUAUUGCAUUAUAUUAGCAGUUAAUAUUUGCGUGUGCCAAGCUAAGUGAAGGUUUCAUCAAUAGGAGCGGUCGUCCGGCCGAUUCUAUCAACACCACGUACGAUGACAUAUCGACGUUUUUAUAUUUAUAAUAAUAAUGGUACGACCUUGGGAGUAACCUUUCAGUCCAGGUGCACCACGCGUCCUUGUUUGUGUUCUUCAUAAACAAGUUCAAUAACAUCAGCAUAAAAACAAUGUUAGUUUAAUCCUUUUGUAAAAAUAAUAAUAAUAAUAAAAAAAGGUCAGAGGACAUUAUUACGUAAUAUUAAUCCCUCAAGUAACAAACAUGAAGUUUAUUCGUUUUCUUAAGAGGCUGCAGUUUCGGUUGACCACCGCUAGAUGUCAGUACGGCGGCGUUUAGCACAUGACGUCCCAACAACCUUUGACAUUAGCAUGCUGCUAAAUUGCUGCCGGAUUGAACCCCGGUCCCCACAACUGUGAGGCAGAUGUGCUAACCAGUCGGUCACCGUCCCACCCAACUUUUUUCAGACCUCCGUGGCCAAGACCCUCGCACGCAUGAAUGUCCGACAUCAGCAGAAGACGCUUGACAGCAAAGCGAACGCACGAACAAGCAGGCGAGGCGGGGCAAGUGUGAGAAACAGCACACUCUAGUGGACACUUGCAGCAACGAGUUUCUCGGACCACGACUUGGCAGCCCAGCUCGCUGGAGAUCCGGAGCCAUUUUGAAAUGACUACACGAUGUGAAAGACUAACCAUGUCAAAGCCAAAAGACACGAGCGGCACGAGCGGCGGCGACGGCGGCGAGAUUCCGUGAACGGUGCUGCAAAGGAGGAAGCACAAAGAACACAUUUUUCAUGAACAGGUUCACUCAUUUGGAAGGCUUUCUUCAAAUCUCGUGUUAAAUGAAGA